AGAUUGAACGCUGGCGGCAGGCCUAACACAUGCAAGUCGAGCGGCAGCACGGGUACUUGUACCUGGUGGCGAGCGGCGGACGGGUGAGUAAUGCCUAGGAAUCUGCCUGGUAGUGGGGGAUAACGCUCGGAAACGGACGCUAAUACCGCAUACGUCCUACGGGAGAAAGCAGGGGACCUUCGGGCCUUGCGCUAUCAGAUGAGCCUAGGUCGGAUUAGCUAGUUGGUGAGGUAAUGGCUCACCAAGGCGACGAUCCGUAACUGGUCUGAGAGGAUGAUCAGUCACACUGGAACUGAGACACGGUCCAGACUCCUACGGGAGCAGCAGGUGGGAAUAGUUGGACAAGUGGGACGAAAGCCGUGAUCCAGCCAUCGCCGCGUGUGUGAAGAGUCUCGAUUGAAGCUACGUUAGUGGAGGAGGCUAGUUACUAUACGUAUCUGUUUAGACGUUACGAC
rnacentral:rRNA from 1 species